UACGAAGGGGACUAGCGUUGUUCGGAUUUACUGGGCGUAAAGCGCGCGUAGGCGGAUCGCUAAGUCAGGGGUGAAAUGCCGAGGCUCAACCUCGGAACUGCCUUUGAUACUGACGAUCUGGAGAUUGGGAGAGGUGAGUGGAAUUCCGAGUGUAGAGGUGAAAUUCGUAGAUAUGGGGAGGAACACCGGUGGCGAAGGCGACCAUCUGGACGGAUACUGACGCUGAGACGCGAAAGCGUGGGGAGCAAACAGG
rnacentral:rRNA from 1 species